GGGGAUUUAGCUCAGUGGUAGAGCACUUGCCUAGCAAGGGGAAGGCCCUGGGUUCGGUCCCCAGCUCCG
rnacentral:tRNA from 1 species